UCCUAUCUCGCUCCAGAUCCCAUUCGUGCUUCUCUCCUUCACCUCUCCUUCAUCUUCUUCUUCUCGAAUCCAUGGCGACGCCACUCUCCACGUAUCCUGAUAGACUUUGUUGGUUUUGAAUCUUUUUCUUACCGGUCUGUGUGAGCGUAUGGGUGGAACAGCUGUGCCCGAUCUACAGGGAGAGGGAGCCAUGGGAGAAACGAAUCGGGAACGAGUGUUGAACUAAAGAAAGAAAGGUGACGAGGAGAAGAUGGAGAUCGGGAAUUGGCCAUCGAGGUUUGGUCCCCAAGAGUUUGAGACAUCUUGCAGCACCGGUCUACUAUAAUCUAUUGUAAGGCAGUGGCAGAUUGAUGGUAAAGAAACUCUGUAAAGCAGCUCGGCAGGACAUAUUUUCUCGUCCAUGACUCUGCUUUCUAAGGAGGAUUCCGUUUAAAGUUUCAGUUCAUCCACCAAGUGUGAAUUUAGGCUGUUCGAUCUCUCUGUUAAAGGUUGUGGCAUUCUAUCUGAUACUGGGACCUUGAAGGAUUCACAAUCUUAAACUGUCAAUGAACCCGGGACUAUGAUGACCUUUCUGACCUUUUACCUUGUAAGAAAAGCUGUCCUUCAGAAUCAGCAAAGCAAAACUUAUAUGGGCACCAAUAUUCAAUGACAACAUUAACUCAGCAAGUGUGUGGUUAUAGAGGAGGAACCGUGUGUGGAUUCCCAUCCCUCAGCGAGUAGGUAGUUCACACUGGAGCCUUGGCAAUGGACACCGCAUAGCUGUCUUAGAGGACCACAAUCAAAUUAAUGUCAUCACAGUAGGAGGCCGGCAGAACAUUGCAGAGAAACCUAUCUGACUCCAGGGGUGGCAGGGCUAUCAUUCAAGACAGAUGACCCCAAUAUGACCUUCAGCUAUCGUUGUCAUCCAAGCCUGAGCCUAAAUAGGGUGCUCGUCCGGUGACUACUGAUCGAGAUUCCAUUACAGGGAAGUGAAGUUGAAUUCCUACUGUAGUAACUGAAGCUUUAAAUAUAUUGAGCAAGAGACUUCCAGCUGUUCGAAGGGAAAGCUCCGUAAUUUACUGCUGGGCCUCGCGAAUAUGGGGAACUCAUGAAUGCACUGCUGCUAUAAAAGUAUCCUGGGUUCCCUAAGUUGAAGUUUGUAUCAUGAUGUGUACCUGUGGUCACACAUGUUGGUCUCGCAACAUGUGUGAAGGACUCCAAAUAGGAUAUAGUUGAGGCAAAGAUAUGUCACAGGCGGCCAUGAUCAUAGCGAUGUGUGGCUGGAUGCAGAUUUAAAGAGACGUAGGAAGAUGAAGGCUUGAUGCAACAAGGCCUAGUAGGCUGUUAUCAGGGAAGAAAUGUACCAGCUACUAGGAUGGUCAGAUAAACUACUGACUUUUCCAUGUUUAGCUAUUAAACCUCCAGGACUGAUGCAGUGUAGGGUGGGCCUUCUGAAAUGUCUGGACACAUGGACAGGCCUUGUGUAUGAAUGUUUGCACUUGAUAUUUGGACAGUGAUAUCCAGAGGGUUUAUAAAUGCACAUCGUUUUUAUUAGAUGCGUAUGUAUUAAUUACCUUGGACAGGUUUUUUUGGGUAAAAAUUACCUUGGACAGUUUGCAGC